ACACGUGCCCGUUCACGGUCUAUGGCACUGGUAGAAUUCACUGAUCGUAGACACCAGUGAUUCUUCAGUCAGCCAUAAACUGUGGCGGGAACUGAUCAUC
rnacentral:pre_miRNA from 1 species